AGUCGAGCGAGACCUUCGGGUCUAGCGGCGGACGGGUUAGUAACGCGUGGGAAUAUACCCUUCACUACGGAAUAGCCUCGGGAAACUGGGAGUAAUACCGUAUACGCCCUUUGGGGGAAAGAUUUAUCGGUGAAGGAUUAGCCCGCGUCUGAUUAGAUAGUUGGUGGGGUAAUGGCCUACCAAGUCUACGAUCAGUAGCUGGUUUGAGAGGAUGAUCAGCAACACUGGGACUGAGACACGGCCCAGACUCCUACGGGAGGCAGCAGUGGGGAAUCUUAGACAAUGGGCGCAAGCCUGAUCUAGCCAUGCCGCGUGAGUGACGAAGGCCUUAGGGUCGUAAAGCUCUUUCGCCAGAGAUGAUAAUGACAGUAUCUGGUAAAGAAACCCCGGCUAACUCCGUGCCAGCAGCCGCGGUAAUACGGAGGGGGUUAGCGUUGUUCGGAAUUACUGGGCGUAAAGCGCACGUAGGCGGAUUGGAAAGUAUGGGGUGAAAUCCCAGGGCUCAACCCUGGAACGGCCUUGUAAACUCCCAGUCUAGAGUUCGAGAGAGGUGAGUGGAAUUCCAAGUGUAGAGGUGAAAUUCGUAGAUAUUUGGAGGAACACCAGUGGCGAAGGCGGCUCACUGGCUCGAUACUGACGCUGAGGUGCGAAAGUGUGGGGGAGCAACAGGAUUAGAUACCCUGGUAGUCCACGCCCUAAACGAUGAAUGCCACACCUCCGGGGGCUUGCCCUUCGUUGUCCCACCUAACGGAUUAAGCAUUCCGCCUGGGGAGUACGGCCCCAAGAUUAAAACUCUAAGGAAAUUGAGGGGGCCCC
rnacentral:rRNA from 1 species